rnacentral:miRNA from 12 species
CCUCUGCUCUGGAGCCAGGCUGGGAGAGCUGGGAAUGUUCACCUGGAGAGGAGAAGGAUCCAAAGAGAGCUCAGAGCCCCUGCCAGGACCUAAAGGAGAGCUGGAGAGGG